AUUAAGUGCAGUUUUGUACUACUCAUGUCUAGUGUAUAACCGUUCGUCUUAUUUGAAAAUAUUUAUAAUUAGUAUUUUUAUUGUUAUUAGAUGAUAAAACAUACAUAAUUCUUUAUGUGUAAUUAUCUUUUUAAAAAAUUAUAAUUUUUUUAAAUAAGACGGAUUUCCACAACUACACUUAUUUUAGGAUAGAGGUAGU
rfam:Oryza glaberrima chromosome 7 Oglab07_0047_9, whole genome shotgun sequence.